rnacentral:rRNA from 1 species
UGUUCGAAAGGGAAACAGCCCAGACCACCAGCUAAGGUCCCAAAAUAUAUGUUAAGUGGAAAAGGAUGUGGCGUUGCCCAGACAACUAGGAUGUUGGCUUAGAAGCAGCCAUCAUUUAAAGAGUGCGUAAUAGCUCACUAGUCGAGUGACACUGCGCCGAAAAUGUACCGGGGCUAAACAUAUUACCGAAGCUGUGGAUUGUCCUUUGGACAAUGGUAGGAGAGCGUUCUAAGGGCGUUGAAGCAUGAUCGUAAGGACAUGUGGAGCGCUUAGAAGUGAGAAUGCCGGUGUGAGUAGCGAAAGAUGGGUGAGAAUCCCGUCCACCGAUUGACUAAGGUUUCCAGAGGAAGGCUCGUCCGCUCUGGGUUAGUCGGGUCCUAAGCUGAGGCCGACAGGCGUAGGCGAUGGAUAACAGGUUGAUAUUCCUGUACCACCUAUAAUCGUUUUAAUCGAUGGGGGGACGCAGUAGGAUAGGCGAAGCGUGCGAUUGGAUUGCACGUCUAAGCAGUAAGGCUGAGUAUUAGGCAAAUCCGGUACUCGUUAAGGCUGAGCUGUGAUGGGGAGAAGACAUUGUGUCUUCGAGUCGUUGAUUUCACACUGCCGAGAAAAGCCUCUAGAUAGAAAAUAGGUGCCCGUACCGCAAACCGACACAGGUAGUCAAGAUGAGAAUUCUAAGGUGAGCGAGCGAACUCUCGUUAAGGAACUCGGCAAAAUGACCCCGUAACUUCGGGAGAAGGGGUGCUCUUUAGGGUUAACGCCCAGAAGAGCCGCAGUGAAUAGGCCCAAGCGACUGUUUAUCAAAAACACAGGUCUCUGCUAAACCGUAAGGUGAUGUAUAGGGGCUGACGCCUGCCCGGUGCUGGAAGGUUAAGAGGAGUGGUUAGCUUCUGCGAAGCUACGAAUCGAAGCCCCAGUAAACGGCGGCCGUAACUAUAACGGUCCUAAGGUAGCGAAAUUCCUUGUCGGGUAAGUUCCGACCCGCACGAAAGGCGUAACGAUUUGGGCACUGUCUCAACGAGAGACUCGGUGAAAUCAUAGUACCUGUGAAGAUGCAGGUUACCCGCGACAGGACGGAAAGACCCCGUGGAGCUUUACUGUAGCCUGAUAUUGAAAUUCGGCACAGCUUGUACAGGAUAGGUA